CUUCACGGAACCCAGCCAAAGCGGCUCCGACCGGCCCUGCCCGUAGGUCGCCAGCAGCGCCUGGGCCUC
rnacentral:antisense_RNA from 1 species